rnacentral:lncRNA from 1 species
GACCACAGAAAAAGUAGCCAGCCCACCAUCCCUAGAUGAUUUUGCAGUCUUUGCACACCAGUGUGGCCAUAGGCUUGUUUUCUCCUGGACUGAGCCUGCAGAUCCUAUGAGCAAGCAUAUGUCCUGUGCUCCACUAGUCCUAGCUGGAUCGUGGACAUAUUACCAUCAUUACAAAUAUCAAUAGUUUGUGAUUACUUCAAACAAUCUGAAGUUGAAGGACCCCAGAUAUCCUUCAAAACAGGAAUCUGCAGGCAGAUGCUGAAACCAUGAAUACAGAGGGACAACUAUGCUCCGGCCCUGAACGCAGGAGAGUUGCUAAAGAAGUUGCUCACAGAGGCGGGAGAGAGCAGGCUACUGGUUUCCUUCAAAAUGGAAUAGGAAACAGAAAACGUGCAUCAUUUCUUCGCACUUGAAUCAGCAACAUGACACAGGACUUUGGCAUCAGACUACUAUCACACCAAAAAAAGAGGCUUCACUUGGAGUGCUGCCACUGGAUGGGGCCUGACUUGUUUAUCCGGAAAGAAGUGACUUCCCUGGGAAGAAGGUUGCAUUUGUGAAAGCUUGUGCAGCAUUUCAAGGCUGCAUUCAGGGGCUCUGACCUCCAGUGUCAGCCUUCCAAGGAGAGAAUGGUAGUGUAAUCAUGACUGGAGAGCAACUGUUCCAGAUAAGAAUAUUUUGGCAGAUUUUAAAAGCAACUAUUACUGGUGUUGAUUGACUUAAAAAUAUUUUAAAAAUAUAACAUGUUAUAAACCUCUUCAAUAUCAAGAGGCAGGAUAUAAUGAUUUGUAUAUUUUAUUUUGACUUUACAUGCG